AUUGAACGCUGGCGGCAGGCCUAACACAUGCAAGUCGAACGGUAACAGGAAACAGCUUGCUGUUUCGCUGACGAGUGGCGGACGGGUGAGUAAUGUCUGGGAAACUGCCUGAUGGAGGGGGAUAACUACUGGAAACGGUAGCUAAUACCGCAUAACGUCGCAAGACCAAAGAGGGGGACCUUCGGGCCUCUUGCCAUCGGAUGUGCCCAGAUGGGAUUAGCUAGUAGGUGGGUUAACGGCUCACCUAGGCGACGAUCCCUAGCUGGUCUGAGAGUAUGACCAGCCACACUGGAACUGAGACACGGUCCAGACUCCUACGGGAGGCAGCAGUGGGGAAUAUUGCACAAUGGGCGCAAGCCUGAUGCAGCCAUGCCGCGUGUAUGAAGAAGGCCUUCGGGUUGUAAAGUACUUUCAGCGGGGAGGAAGGGAGUAAAGUUAAUACCUUUGCUCAUUGACGUUACCCGCAGAAGAAGCACCGGCUAACUCCGUG
rnacentral:rRNA from 1 species